CCCCUCUCUCACUCUCUCUUUAAAAAAAAAAAAAGAAAAAAGAGUCCAUGUCCUGAAUCCAGUAGGAAGUAAUUUACCAGCAGCCCUGCCUGGCCUAAGUGGACAGGAUGUGUCACAUUCCUCAGCAAACUACCUGUUAACUGCAGGAGAAAUAUAGGCCCAAGAUAAUAUCCAUGGAAGGAACCCAGGAGAUUUUUGUGACCAGAUCCUGAAACUCUGGGAGAUCAGGAUAUUUCAUACUAAUCAUAAAAUCUGUAAGAAUGUAUGGUUAAGAAUCCAAUUAAAAUGGGUCAACAUGGGCCAACAUGACCUAAAGUUGCCAUGACAAUGGGGACUUGAAUGUCUGGUCUGAUGUCACUCUGCUGUCAGUCAAAAGUCAAGACGUGGACCUGAUCAAGAGUCUCUGGAAAUUUCUCUGGGAUCCCCAAUAAAACUGGGGGGCAGGAAAGGUACAUUGUCCCUCUCCUGUCUGAGAGGACCCACUCUCUCACUUUUGAAUGUCCUCUUUCCCUCACCUAUCCCUUCAAUAAACUCAUUCCUGUUACUGUGA